ACAGAAGGUCCGUUACAUCCCUUCGCUCCGGAUUUUUCCUAGAGUCUGACCCCGAAGGGCAAGGCCUGCCUCACUCGAGUCCGGGCCUGGAGCCCCCACCGGAAGGCAUGGCAGCUUCUCACCUGGGGACGGGCGGCUGCGGGGCUCCGGGACGCAGCGGUGCCCACGAGACGCGCGGCCGCGGCUCUGCUGGCGCUUAUCAUGGUGGCUGGACAGAGGGGGUUACGAGGGCAAGAACCAACACCCCACGGGCCCGGAGCUGCGUGCACGGUGGUGGCUACGCUUCUGGAAACCUCCAACCACGUGGGGUGGGGGCGGGGGCUGGCCGCUGCAGCAAUGAAGCCCGCUCUUCUGCUGAGGCGCCCGACGUGCUGCCUGACUAGAGACUACGUGUCCGCUGCUCCCGGGAUCGGCGCACGCCGCCAGCACGCCUCUCAGCAUUAAUCGUUGAAAGUUCCCGUUCUCUCAUCACGGUUUCCAGGGCUGUGGGAGCAGGGAGAAGGGAAAGAGAGAAGAGAGGUGGACAGGCAUCGCUUCGGACAGUCCCGGUCCUUAGGACGGGAAAGACUCAAGGUCACACGGGAUAAAUUACGAACAGAUUACAGUCUCCUUGCGUCAGUUGCGCAGAAGGAGGUGCGUUCUGCGCCUGCGUUCUCCGCUCCGGACAGAGGUCGUGAAGCGCAUGUGUGAGGGGCGUGGAGAAAACGGGUUCGGGUUUAACUGUAGCGUUUAUUGGAUGCUCCAGUGCACGCGAAUUUGCGGGCGAGUGCCGGGGGCGCGAGCUCGCGCGCUCACUGGCAGGCGCGUGGGCGUUGUCCCCGGAGGCCGCGACUUGCUGCGGUCGCCAUCUUGUCCUGAGGCGUUGUUUCGGGGACCUUUGUUCUCCAUCGCUGUUUGUUCGCCGCUUGAAAUGUGCACACCUGAAUGUGCGCGGUCUCACACAAAUUUGGGCAGCGCAUUGCUUCGGUCGGGUUAGGUUCCUAAGCUCUAGGGCAGCAUCGGAUUCACGAAGCUUCGAGUCACUUUUAAGGCUGCCUUGGGAACGAUGAGGGGAGAACUACAUGAGCUCUUAUUGCCCGGUUUGCAAGGCCAGGGGCGCCUCUUUUUCAAACCUUGCGCUUGCCAGAUGUUGAUUAUAAUGUGACGAUUUUUUUUUUUUUCAAAGACAAGGUUUCCGACGGGGUAUGAAUGGCGGGCGCCGGCUGUCACAGAACUAGAUUUAUAGACCAGGCUGGCCUUGAUCCCACCAGUGUACUUCUAGAACGCUGGAAUUAAAGGCCUGCGCCACCCCACCCAACCCCAGGGUUUUACUAGCCUUAGUUGUCCUCACACUCAAGGCUCUACUGCCGGACCCUUUCAAAUGUCUGAAUUACAGAUGGGAGGUACUGAGAGACUUUUAGGGACAAAACCUUGGAACAAAUGUUGUGUCAGGAUUUUCUCGACGGUUGUAAAAACAGGGAUUCAAAGACAGUGAAGUAGAACUUGGUUUUGGAGGUAGCAGUUUGAUAGCAAGAGAAAAUAGUUGGGUAGGAAGUGCUCAUACAGGCUUGUAAUUCCACCGGUCAUCUUUGACCCCAUCAUUCGUUCCAGGCCAACAAGAGCUACAUGAAACUAUCUCAAAAAGAAGUAAUGGUGGUCAUCACUGUAACAAGUUAUGAAGAACGUGUGGGGAAAUUAGGAGAUAAAAUACAGUUAUAUUAUAAAAGAAAGUAGAAGGGAAUGGAAGGUAGCUGGGAAUGGUGCUGUCAGCCUCCAGCACUUGGGUGAGGUUGAACCAGAAAUGCAAGGUCACCUUUGGUGAUAAAAUGAAUUGGGAACCAGCUCGAUGACACUAAGAGUCUGUGAACCUCUUUUUUAACAAGUUAAUAAAAUUAAGUUAAACA
rnacentral:lncRNA from 1 species